UUUGCACGUUCUACGUGGUCAGUCAUCCAAAUAGCGUCAAAUUUGUAUCCGCCCACAACUGUUGCCAAUAUUUUUUGUCAUUGGUUGGACGGUAUUUCAAAUAGGUUCAAAACGCUAAUAAGGGUGGGAGCGUAUGCCUUAAUUUGGUCGCUUUGGCUAUGUACAAAUGAUUUUGUUUUUAAUGGAAGAAAUGCAUCUCCUCUACAGGUUAUUUUCCGGUGUACGCAAUUGCUACGUAUGUGGUCUAUGUUACAACGACCGGAGAACCAACCGCUGUUCAAGGCGGUCUGUAUGCGAUUGAAGCAGGUGGCUAUGGAGGGUUGUUUCCAACAUGGGUGGCAACAUAACCUUCGGAUCGAUCCACCACCUCCAUCGACAUAG
rnacentral:rRNA from 1 species